UGGCGGACGGGUGAGUAACACGUGGGCAACCUGCCCUGUAGACUGGGAUAACUUCGGGAAACCGGAGCUAAUACCGGAUAAUCCAUUUCACCUCAUGGUGAAAUGUUGAAAGGCGCUUCGGCGUCACUACAGGAUGGGCCCGCGGUGCAUUAGCUAGUUGGUGGGGUAACGGCCUACCAAGGCAACGAUGCAUAGCCGACCUGAGAGGGUGAUCGGCCACAUUGGGACUGAGACACGGCCCAAACUCCUACGGGAGGCAGCAGUAGGGAAUCUUCCACAAUGGACGAAAGUCUGAUGGAGCAACGCCGCGUGAGUGAUGAAGGUUUUCGGAUCGUAAAACUCUGUUGUAAGGGAAGAACGAGUACGUUAGGAAAUGAACGUACCUUGACGGUACCUUAUUAGAAAGCCACGGCUAACUACGUGCCAGCAGCCGCGGUAAU
rnacentral:rRNA from 1 species